rnacentral:rRNA from 1 species
AUUGAACGCUGGCGGCAGGCCUAACACAUGCAAGUCGAGCGGAGCGGCGGACGGGCGAGUAAUGCCUAGGAAUCUGCCUGGUCGUGGGGGAUAACGUCAGGAUACGGGCGCUAAUACCGCACACUAUCAGAUGAGCCUAGGUCGGAUUAGCUAGUGGGUGGGGUAAAGGCCUACCAAGGCGACGAUCCGUAACUGGUCUGAGAGGAUGAUCAGUCAAACGGGAACUGAGACAGGGUCCGGCCCCCUACGGGGGGCAGCAGUGGGGAAUAUUGGACAAUGGGCGAAAGCCUGAUCCAGCCAUGCCGCGUGUGUGAAGAAGGUCUUCGGAUUUAAAAGCACUUUAAGUUGGGAGGCGGUACCAACAGAAUAAGCACCGGCUAACUUCGUGCCAGCAGCCGCGGUAAUAC